rnacentral:pre_miRNA from 1 species
UUUUUUACAAAUCAGAAUGAUCUGAAAUUUGGAGUGUGUGUUCAUAAAAAAUAGGUGAAUCUAUGAAAAAUAUCAAAAAAAUUAUUUUACAUGAAAUAAAUUGACCAAAAUACCCCCAAAAAGUUUCAGGGGUAUUUUGAUCAAUUUUGUUUUCGUGAAUUAUUUUUUUUAUAUUUUUAUUAGGUGCACCUCACUAAGAUCUACAUACACUCCAAAUUUCAGAUUAUUCCGAUUUGUAAAAAA